UACAGAGGUCCCAAGCGUUGUUCGGAAUCACUGGGCGUAAAGGGUGCGUAGGCGGCGCGGAAAGUCAGGGGUGAAAUCCCGGGGCUCAACUCCGGAACUGCCUUUGAUACUCCCGCGCUUGAGAACUGGAGGGGAGACCGGAAGUUCACGGUGGAGCAAUGAAAUGCGUGGAUAUCGUGAGGAACACUAGUGGCGAAGGCGGGUCUCUGGACAGUAUCUGACGCUGAGGCACGGAAGGCCAGGGGAGCGAACGGGG
rnacentral:rRNA from 1 species